rnacentral:tRNA from 1 species
GGCCCCAUCGUCUAGCGGUUAGGACACCGGGCUUUCAUCUCGGUAACCGGGGUUCGAUUCCCCGUGGGGUCA